rnacentral:rRNA from 1 species
GCAGUCGAGCGGUAGAGAGAAGCUUGCUUCUCUUGAGAGCGGCGGACGGGUGAGUAAUGCCUAGGAAUCUGCCUGGUAGUGGGGGAUAACGUCCGGAAACGGACGCUAAUACCGCAUACGUCCUACGGGAGAAAGCAGGGGACCUUCGGGCCUUGCGCUAUCAGAUGAGCCUAGGUCGGAUUAGCUAGUUGGUGAGGUAAUGGCUCACCAAGGCGACGAUCCGUAACUGGUCUGAGAGGAUGAUCAGUCACACUGGAACUGAGACACGGUCCAGACUCCUACGGGAGGCAGCAGUGGGGAAUAUUGGACAAUGGGCGAAAGCCUGAUCCAGCCAUGCCGCGUGUGUGAAGAAGGUCUUCGGAUUGUAAAGCACUUUAAGUUGGGAGGAAGGGCAUUAACCUAAUACGUUAGUGUUUUGACGUUACCGACAGAAUAAGCACCGGCUAACUCUGUGCCAGCAGCCGCGGUAAUACAGAGGGUGCAAGCGUUAAUCGGAAUUACUGGGCGUAAAGCGCGCGUAGGUGGUUUGUUAAGUUGGAUGUGAAAGCCCCGGGCUCAACCUGGGAACUGCAUUCAAAACUGACAAGCUAGAGUAUGGUACAGGGUGGUGGAAUUUCCUGUGUAGCGGUGAAAUGCGUAGAUNUAGGAAGGAACACCACUGGCGAAGGCGACCACCUGGACUGAUACUGACACUGAGGUGCGAAAGCGUGGGGAGCAUACAGGAUUAGAUACCCUGGUAGUCCACGCC